GACGAACGCUGGCGGCGUGCUUAACACAUGCAAGUCGUACGGUAAGGCCCUUUCGGGGGUCCCCGAGUGGCGAACGGGUGAGUAACACGUGAGUAAACUGCCCACAACUUUGGGAUAACGGUAGGAAAGUGGUGCUAAUACUGGUAAUGUGCUCCUGCUGCAUGGGGGGGGUUGGAAAGAUCCGGGGGUUUUGGGUGGACUCGCGGGCUAUCAGCUUGUUGGUGGGGUAGUGGGGUACCGAGGCGGCGAGGGGAAGCCGGCCUGCGGGGGUGAGCGGCCACACUGGGACUGAGAGACGGCCCAGACGCCUACGGGAGGCAGAAGUGCGGAAUAUUGCACAAGGGGCGCCAGCCGGAUGCAGCAACGCCGCGUGCUGGAUGACGGCCUUCGGGUUGAAAACCGCUUUCAGCAGGGACGAAGCUUUUUGUGACGGUACCUGCAGAAGAAGCACCGGCUAACUACGUG
rnacentral:rRNA from 1 species